AUUGAACGCUGGCGGCAGGCCUAACACAUGCAAGUCGAACGAGUGGCGGACGGGUGAGUAAUGUCUGGGCAACUGCCUGAUGGAGGGGGAUAACUACUGGAAAAGGUAGCUAAUACCGCAUACCAUCGGAUGUGCCACGAUGGGAUUCGCUAGUGGGGGGGGUAACGGCUCACCUAGGCGACGAUCCCUAGCUGGUCUGAGAGGAUGACCAGCCACACUGGCACUGAGACACGGUCCAGACUCCUACGGGAGGCAGCAGUGGGGAAUAUUGCACAAUGGGCGAAAGCCUGAUGCAGCCAUGCCGCUUGUAUGAAGAAGGCCUUCGGGUUGUAAAGUACUUUCAGCGGGGAGGCGUUACCCGCAGAAGAAGCACCGGCUAACUCCGUGCCAGCCGCCGCGGUAAUUC
rnacentral:rRNA from 1 species